CUACGGGGCGCUGCAGUGGGGAAUAUUGGACAAUGGGGGAAACCCUGAUCCAGCAAUGCCGCGUGUGUGAAGAAGGCCUGCGGGUUGUAAAGCACUUUCGGUUGGGAGGACUGCUUCUAGCACUAAUAUUGUUGGAAGUUGACGUUACCUUCAGAAGAAGCACCGGCUAACUCCGUGCCAGCAGCGGCGGUAAUACGGAGGGUGCAAGCGUUAAUCGGAAUUACUGGGCGUAAAGCGCGCGUAGGCGGCUAGAUCAGUCGGGUGUGAAAGCCCCGGGCUUGACCUGGGAACUGCAUCCGAUACUGUCUAGCUGGAGUACAGGAGAGGAGAGUGGAAUUCCACAUGUAGCGGUGAAAUGCGUAGAUAUGUGGAGGAACACCAAUGGCGAAGGCAGCUCUCUGGCCUGAUACUGACGCUGAGGUGCGAAAGCGUGGGGAGCAAACAGGAUUAGAUACCCGUGUAGUC
rnacentral:rRNA from 1 species